rnacentral:misc_RNA from 1 species
AGCAAUGGACUGAGAUGCUUAAAAGCGAUGCAAUUAAAAUGUGCCAGGAAAACAAUUUUAAUACAGGUUUCUUUGAAGGAAGUGAUAGUAAUUAUGUGGUCGAUGCUUAUGAGCUGAAGGUCAGGCUUGAGCACAUUCUGGAAAGGAUAUCAUUGAUUUUUGAUGCAGCAAAUACAGAAAAACCAUCUGCAAUCUCAGGCAGUCUGUUUAUCGGUGGGGCACUUGCUGCUAG